rnacentral:lncRNA from 1 species
AAAGGUCCUGCCAGCAGUGCACCAAGCCCUCCUCUUGGCAGGAAGCAGCAGACUAGAGCAAGUGAGGGAGAGUCGAAGCUGGCGGGGGGGUUUUCCCAGACAACAGCCUGUCCCGUGCUGCUCCCUGCCAGCCCCAAAUCAGGAGUCCCCCCACCCCCGCACCACCGUGUUUCUAGUCCUGAGAGUGAUGGGCUGGGGGAUGGAGCCUCUGAAAAUUCCACGAAGGUACUGCCCAGUUUUAGCAAUGAAAGUCCCACGUCACGGGAAACCUCUGAGUCCUGGACAAAUCAAGAUGACAUUUUCUAUGCAUAUGCAAGCAUGUCACCAGGAGCAGAGCACAGAGGGACAACACAGCUUUUGCGCUUCCAGCUGGCUCCCAUCAAGAAGUUAGAAGGGAGCCUGCAAACACAUUUCCUGCUAUCAUCUCUCCACCCCAGAAUGACUUUCCCUGGUAGAGCUGGGGGAGGGGAGGCGGGCAGCAGGCCCCCCAGGAGGCCCUGGGCAGGAAUAUUAAUACUCCAACUUCCCAGCACAAGAGGAGGGAGGAGGAGCGGCCACGGCGCAGUCCGGUCCUGGGGGCCCUGGAAGGUGGUUGCUGAGCAGCCCGUGGGAGGCACGGAUCCGCCAGCUCACGGCGGCAGGGGCCGCCCAAGUCCUAAUGAAAACACCUAGCUCCUGGCAGGGCGCAGCCGACACAUCGCCCUGCCUUCUCGGCCACCUGGGAGAGGAUGGGCGCCGCACGCGGAUACCCAACCUGCCGGGUUGUGCUCGCAGUGACAUCGCUUUUCUCCCGGCAAGUGCAUCCAUCUCGCUGGGUCUGGAUAGAUAACACAAUCUCUCUGCCCACACCCCAUUUGCUGGGAGACAGCCUGGGCUUCUCCAUUUUUUAUGGGCUCACUUAGCUUGGAGGAAAUCCAGAGGUCAAAGCCGGCGCAGACGCUCCAGUCACCUUGCCCGUCCGGGCGCGCAGCCAUUCCGAAACGGGCUCACCCACGGGGCCCUAAAUUACGGCGAUUACACUGCAAUUCGCAGCGCGAUAUUACUUUGAUACACUA